ACUCCUGCGGGAGGCAGCAGUGGGGAAUAUUGCACAAUGGGCGCAAGCCUGAUGCAGCCAUGCCGCGUGUAUGAAGAAGGCCUUCGGGUUGUAAAGUACUUUCAGCGGGGAGGAAGGCGAUAAGGUUAAUAACCUUGUCGAUUGACGUUACCCGCAGAAGAAGCACCGGCUAACUCCGUGCCAGCAGCCGCGGUAAUACGGAGGGUGCAAGCGUUAAUCGGAAUUACUGGGCGUAAAGCGCACGCAGGCGGUCUGUCAAGUCGGAUGUGAAAUCCCCGGGCUCAACCUGGGAACUACAUUCGAAACUGGCAGGCUAGAGUCUUGUAGAGGGGGGUAGAAUUCCAGGUGUAGCGGUGAAAUGCGUAGAGAUCUGGAGGAAUACCGGUGGCGAAGGCGGCCCCCUGGACAAAGACUGACGCUCAGGUGCGAAAGCGUGGGGAGCAAACAGGAUUAGAAACCCUGGUAGUCCCAUGA
rnacentral:rRNA from 1 species